GACGAACGCUGGCGGCGUGCUUAACACAUGCAAGUCGAACGGAAAGGCCCUGCUUUUGUGGGGUGCUCGAGUGGCGAACGGGUGAGUAACACGUGAGUAACCUGCCCUUGACUUUGGGAUAACUUCAGGAAACUGGGGCUAAUACCGGAUAGGAGCUCCUGCUGCAUGGUGGGGGUUGGAAAGUUUCGGCGGUUGGGGAUGGACUCGCGGCUUAUCAGCUUGUUGGUGGGGUAGUGGCUUACCAAGGCGUCGACGGGUAGCCGGCCUGAGAGGGUGACCGGCCACAUUGGGACUGAGAUACGGCCCAGACUACUACGGGAGGCAGCAGUGGGGAAUAUUGCACAAUGGGCGGAAGCCUGAUGCAGCAACGCCGCGUGCGGGAUGACGGCCUUCGGGUUGUAAACCGCUUUCGCCUGUGACGAAGCGUGAGUGACGGUAAUGGGUAAAGAAGCAACGGCUAACUACGUG
rnacentral:rRNA from 1 species